GCGCAGCAGGCGAGAAACCUCCGCAAUGCGGGAAACCGCGACGGGGGACCCCGAGUGCCGUGGCAACGCCACGGCUUUUCCGGAGUGUAAAAAGCUCCGGGAAUAAGGGCUGGGCAAGGCCGGUGGCAGCCGCCGCGGUAAUACCGGCGGCCCGAGUGGUGGCCGCUAUUAUUGGGCCUAAAGCGUCCGUAGCCGGGCCCGUAAGUCCCUGGCGAAAUCCCACGGCUCAACCGUGGGGCUUGCUGGGGAUACUGCGGGUCUUGGGACCGGGAGAGGCGGGGGUACCCCUGGGGUAGGGGUGAAAUCCUAUAAUCCCAGGGGGACCGCCAGUGGCGAAGGCGCCCCGCUGGAACGGGUCCGACGGUGAGGGACGAAGGCCAGGGGAGCAAACCGGAUUAGAUACCCGCGUAGU
rnacentral:rRNA from 1 species